rnacentral:ribozyme from 1 species
AGAAAUGGAAGGAGAAAAGAGAAGAGAAAAAGUAAGAAAUGAAAAAGAAGAAGAGACAAAAAUAGCAAAAACCUCUUCCCUUCCCUCUCUUCUCCCUUUUGCUCUCAUUC